GACGAACGCUGGCGGCGUGCCUAAUACAUGCAAGUAGAACGCAGUUGCGAACGGGUGAGUAACGCGUAGGUAACUGCCUGGUAGCGGGGGGUAACUAUUGGAAACGAUAGCUAAUACCGCAUACUACCAGAUGGACCUGCGUUGUAUUAGCUAGUUGGUGGGGUAACGGCUCACCAAGGCAACGAUACAUAGCCGACCCGAGUGGGUGAUCGGCCCAACUGGGACUGCGACCCUGCCCAGACUCCUACGGGAGGCCGCAGUAGGGAAGCGUCGGCAAUGGGGGGAACCCUGACCGAGCAACGCCGCGGGAGUGAAGAAGGUUUUCGGAUCGUAAAGCUCUGUUGUUAAGGGAGCGGUACUUAACCAGAAAGGGACGGCUAACUACGUGCCAGCAGCCGCGGUAAUAC
rnacentral:rRNA from 1 species